UACGUAGGGGGCAAGCGUUGUCCGGAUUCAUUGGGCGUAAAGAGCUCGUAGGCGGCUUGGCAAGUCGGGUGUGAAACCUCCAGGCUCAACCUGGAGACGCCACCCGAUACUGCCAUGGCUAGAGUCCGGUAGGGGACCACGGAAUUCCUGGUGUAGCGGUGAAAUGCGCAGAUAUCAGGAGGAACACCGAUGGCGAAGGCAGUUCUCUGGGCCGUAACUGGACGCUGAGGCACGAAAGCGUGGGUAGUCAAACAGGA
rnacentral:rRNA from 1 species